rnacentral:rRNA from 1 species
AACGCGAAGAACCUUACCUACCCUUGACAUGUCCGGAAGCCCGCUGAGAGGUGGGUGUGCCCGAAAGGGAACUGGAACACAGGUGCUGCAUGGCUGUCGUCAGCUCGUGUCGUGAGAUGUUGGGUUAAGUCCCGCAACGAGCGCAACCCUUGUCCUUAGUUGCUACGCAAGGGCACUCUAAGGAGACUGCCGGUGACAAACCGGAGGAAGGUGGGGAUGACGUCAAGUCCUCAUGGCCCUUAUGGGUAGGGCUUCACACGUCAUACAAUGGCCGGUACAGAGGGUUGCCAACCCGCGAGGGGGAGCCAAUCCCGAUAAAGCCGGUCGUAGUCCGGAUUGCAGUCUGCAACUCGACUGCAUGAAGUCGGAGUCGCUAGUAAUCGCGGAUCAGCAUGCCGCGGUGAAUGCGUUCCCGGGUCUUGUACACACGC